UUACCAUGGAUAACGUUCCGUUCCCACAAAACAAAACGUCAACAAGAACUGUAGUGAAGUUCGCAGCAGUACUAUCGAUUGGGCCGCGCCGUAAUGCGUACAUAACAACAGGAGGAAUCGAUUAAAAACUUACCGAUUACGAAAAAGUAACGAUGGCAUACUACUUUUCGGGGACUCAAUUUCCGUUAAUUUUCUUUUUUGUAUCAUGUAACUGGAUGCCGGUGGAAAAUUCUUCCCCAGUGUGGACCAUCGGAAUAAUCCCGCACAAGCGCAGUGGCCUCCUGUGACGUCACGAUGUUUACACCCUCUCUCGCACAUUCGAUUGUUUUCUUUGUGUAGCGAUUAUAGACCUUAUGGAUUUUGUACAAAGAAUAUAAAUAUUAAAUUAAUAAAAAAUACACCUAUACCUAAA